GGCGCUGACGCGGGAGGGCGGGCAGGGCCGUGGGGCGCGCGCGGGAAGGGACUUGUGGGAAGGAAGGGAGCGGAAAGGCCGAGCGCCACCCGCCCCGGGAGUCUCCAGAGCAGCGCGCGGGGCAGACCUCCUCGGGUCCUCCGGCGCUUCGGUCUCCGGAGACGCCCGGCCUCCUGAAGGGUUCGGCUUGUCCUCCUCUGGCGCUCAGCUCCCUCUGGCGGCCGGGCUGGCAGGACCUCAGCGCCCAGCCCUUCCGUCUUGUUACGUCCAGGGUCUCACUCUGUGUCUCAGGCUGGAGUACAGUGGUGCAAUUGUAGAUGGCUGCAGCCCUCGACCUCCUGGGCUCAAGUGAUCCUCCUGCCUUAGCCUCUCGAGUAGCUGGGAGUACAGAUGCACACCACCACACCCAGCCUAGAAUGAAGAAACCUGCAGUUGGGAAGCAUGAAUUUACCACCUAUUAAGAAGUAGUCAUCAGGCAUGACCUCCCAUGGGUGCUCACAGAAGAUGGUGCCGUGCAUGUGCAGAACUUCCCAGGCCAAGAUCCACCACAUUGGACCCACUGAGAGACACACUGCCUUAUGCCAGGGACCUGGUGGAAAGGUCACCCCCAGAAUGGACAGGCUGGGAAGAGCUCACUUAACAGUGCACUGGUUUACUGAGACAAUUCAAAACACACAUUCAUUUUGUGUGCUUAUGAAAUAUAUCCCAAGAAAAUGGAAACAACUCUGUCCUUGACCUUCAAAAAGAAAUUGACUUACCUAGCUUAACUAUUCAAACAAACAACUGUGUACUCUCUUCAAUUCCGAUGAUGAUUUUGAUUUACUGUAAAUGACUGAAUUUAAUGAACUAAAUUAUGCUAUUUAAAUGCAUUUUGUGAAUGGUAUUGUAGUUUGUUACAAAGCAUUAUGUCCAUGCUAAAUUGUGCUGUAAAUGAUAUGGUAUGGAACAUAUGUGCUGUAUUCAUAAUUUAACUGUUGCUGUGGAUUGCCUUCUUGGAUAGGACACAUUGAAAAAAGGAGCCUUUAUUUACCUGGUGAAAUGAAGGUGAUAUCUCAGCAAAUCACUAGGUCUUACUGACCUUGGCAGAAUUACAGUGCUAAUAUUUUCACAUGGAUGAACUGUUCUUAAACAAUUUCUCUAAUGUAUAUGGCAGAAAUCGGCUUUCCAUUAAAACUAGGUAUAUAUGGUAUAUUUUCUCUUUCCAU
rnacentral:lncRNA from 10 species